rnacentral:rRNA from 1 species
CAAUAGCGUAUACUAAAGUUGUUGCGAUUAAAAAGCUCGUAGUUGGAUCUCAGGCAUGGGCGCACGGUCCGCCUCGCGGCGGUCACUGUGUGUUUUGUUUCCCAUCCUACGCUUCCCGGUCAUCAGCCCAUGGUGCUCUUCACUGAGCGUUUUGGGUGGCCGGAACGUUUACUUUGAAGAAAUUAGAGUGUUCAAAGCAGGCACGUUGCCUGAAUAAUGGUGCAUGGAAUAAUGGAAUAGGACCUCGGUUCUAUUUUGCUGGUUUUCGGAACACGAGGUAAUGAUUAAGAGGGACAGACGGGGGCAUCCGUAUUGCGGUGUUAGAGGUGAAAUUCUUGGAUCAUCGCAAGACGAACAACUGCGAAAGCAUUUGCCAAGCAUGUUUUCAUUAG